rnacentral:rRNA from 1 species
UGUCAGCCGCCGCGGUAAUACGGAGGGUGCAAGCGUUGCUCGGAAUUACUGGGCGUAAAGAGCGUGUAGGCGGUUUCGUAUGUCUGGCGUGAAAGCCCCGGGCUCACCCCGGGAAGUGCGUUGGAAACUGCGAGACUAGAGUCCCGGAGAGGAAGGUGGAAUUCCAGGUGUAGCGGUGAAAUGCGUAGAUAUCUGGAAGAACACCGGUGGCGAAGGCGGCCUUCUGGACGGUGACUGACGCUGAGACGCGAAAGCGUGGGGAGCAAACAGGAUUAGAUACCCUGGUAGUCCACGCCGUAAACGAUGGGCACUAGGUGUCGCGGGUAUUGACACCUGCGGUGCCACAGCUAACGCAUUAAGUGCCCCGCCUGGGGAAUACGGCCGCAAGGCUAAAACUCAAAGAAAUUGGCGG